rnacentral:tRNA from 1 species
GGAGAGAUGGUCGAGCUGGUUUAAGGCACCGGUCUUGAAAACCGGCGUAGGUGUGAGCCUACCGUGAGUUCGAAUCUCACUCUCUCCG